ensembl:lncRNA
GUUAACUUAUCGCUGUUAUUUCCCCAGACAGCAGUGUGUGACCGCCAGUCCUCACUACGCACGGACUUCACGGACCCACACAGCACUGCGCACGGAGAAAGAGAUAUAGAGAGAGAGAAGGCCGAGCACCUUGGCUAUUUACCCCACUUACUGGUUAAUAAAAUCCACCCUUCGGGGAACUCACCUCUAUCCUCGUGUCGUGUACUUCUUCACCCCGUCACAAUAUAUAUAUACAUAUACGUGUGUAUAUAUAUAUAUAUAUAUAUAUAUAUAUAUAUAUAUAUAUAUAUAUAUAUAUAUAAACUUUGUUUUCAUUAGAAUGGAUAAACAAAAGUGCUUUCCUUGACCUCUGUAUUAAAAUUGUUUUGUUUUUUUUCAGUAUUCUCUGUACAUGGUCCUUGAGAUGCCCUUUGAUUUCACAGCUGUAAGUUGUUGUUUAAAAAGAUAAUUGGGACUUAAUUCAAUUUGAUGAUAUAUUAAUAUUUAAUUUUCCUUAUUUGCCAGUUUACUUUUCCUCUAAUACUAAAACAGUGGUGCCUCAUUCUCUUGGAAAAUUUUGCUCUUGAAAGGUAUCUUUUUCUCGCUUACGUUUUUCUCUGUCCAGCAGACUACAAAUUACCAUCAUUUUUUUCACAGGAAACAUGUCCUCACUGUGUGCAAGUGCAGGAAGAGCAGGAGACUGAAAUUUGCAGCAGGGAGCCAAGGAUAACAAAAGACCUCCACACUGCAUUUGGAUGGAUGCAUAAAAACUUCAGAGGUUUGGUGAAAAAGCUGAGGUUCCUCCAACUGAAAGAGGAAGACCAGAAAAAAGCUCUUCUUCAGCUUUCACAGGCCCAAAUGGCUGACGACCAGCAACUGGCCAAAGAACCUUUUGUUUUCCAAUUCCAAUAUAAGGAUAAUAUAGACAGUUUUAUCGAUGAGUGCAUGGACAAAAGGGGCCUCAAAAUAAAUUGCAUGUUUCUCGAGUUUUGAUUUAUUUUAGUUUUAUUUUAUAAUCUUUUUUUCUUUUGCUACUUAUGUAUGAUAAUGUGUAUAAUGGAAAAAUAAUUGUAAAAAAAAAAAAAAUUAAAUCAAAUGUUCAAAUCCUCAAGCUUCCUUUUGUCUAUCUACCUCAUCUAUCUAUCAUCUGAUUAAAUCGUUAUAAUAAAAUGCUGACUUGACAUCA